CAGCAGCCACGGUAAUACGUAUGUCACAAGCGUUAUCCGGAUUUAUUGGGCGUAAAGCGCGUCUAGGUGGUUAUGUAAGUCUGAUGUGAAAAUGCAGGGCUCAACUCUGUAUUGCGUUGGAAACUGUGUAACUAGAGUACUGGAGAGGUAAGCGGAGCUACAAGUGUAGAGGUGAAAUUCGUAGAUAUUUGUAGGAAUGCCGAUGGGGAAGCCAGCUUACUGGACAGAUACUGACGCUAAAGCGCGAAAGCGUGGGUAGCAAACAGGAUUAGAUACCCCCGUAGUCCCUGUCUCUUAUACA
rnacentral:rRNA from 1 species